rnacentral:rRNA from 1 species
GACGAACGCUGGCGGCGUGCCUAAUACAUGCAAGUAGAACGCUGAAGGAGGAGCUUGCUUCUCCGGAUGAGUUGCGAACGGGUGAGUAACGCGUAGGUAACCUGCCUGGUGGCGGGGGAUAACUAUUGGAAACGAUAGCUAAUACCGCAUAACAGUAGAUGUUGCAUGACAUUUGCUUAAAAGGUGCAAUUGCAUCACUACCAGAUGGACCUGCGUUGUAUUAGCUAGUUGGUGAGGUAACGGCUCACCAAGGCGACGAUACAUAGCCGACCUGAGAGGGUGAUCGGCCACACUGGGACUGAGACACGGCCCAGACUCCUACGGGAGGCAGCAGUAGGGAAUCUUCGGCAAUGGACGGAAGUCUGACCGAGCAACGCCGCGUGAGUGAAGAAGGUUUUCGGAUCGUAAAGCUCUGUUGUAAGAGAAGAACGAGUGUGAGAGUGGAAAGUUCACACUGUGACGGUAUCUUACCAGAAAGGGACGGCUAACUACGUG